AAACUGCUGCUAAUGCCGUGGAGCCUGAUGUGCUGUCAGAGGUAGAAUGCCUGAUGUAGCACUUGCUGGAAGCUCCCUUUGAACCUUCGACUUCUGAGCCUAGAGAUGUGGACAUUUGGAUCGGAUGUGACCGGUGAUGCCGUAGUGAUGACAGGUUACCCUGCACUUGACAGAUAUUCCACACCUUGUUUGAAUGUUAGAUCGUCUACUUGCAGCGGUUCAGGUAAUAUGGAGCAUGUUGUUGCACAUCUGUUAGUAGCUGUUCAUGUAUUGACGGUGAGAAAUUCAACUCAUGUGCAUCCAUUUGUAG